AGCACAGUAAGAGCUUCCUCUUACGGGUGGCGAGUGGCGGACGGGUGAGGAAUACAUCGGAAUCUACUCUUUCGUGGGGGAUAACGUAGGGAAACUUACGCUAAUACCGCAUACGCCCUUCGGGGGAAAGCAGGGGAUCGCAAGACCUUGCGCGAUUGAAUGAGCCGAUGUCGGAUUAGCUAGUUGGCGGGGUAACGGCCCACCAAGGCGACGAUCCGUAGCUGGUCUGAGAGGAUGAUCAGCCACACUGGAACUGAGACACGGUCCAGACUCGGACGGGAGGCAGCAGUGGGGAAUAUUGGACAAUGGGCGCAAGCCUGAUCCAGCCAUACCGCGUGGGUGAAGAAGGCCUUCGGGUUGUAAAGCCCUUUUGUUGGGAAAGAAAAGCAUCCGGUUAAUACCCGGGUGUUCUGACGGUACCCAAAGAAUAAGCACCGGCUAACUUCGUGCCAGCAGCCGCGGUAAUACGAAGGGUGCAAGCGUUACUCGGAAUUACUGGGCGUAAAGCGUGCGUAGGUGGUGAUUUAAGUCCGUUGUGAAAGCCCUGGGCUCAACCUGGGAAUUGCAGUGGAUACUGGGUCACUAGAGUGUGGUAGAGGAUAGUGGAA
rnacentral:rRNA from 1 species